rnacentral:rRNA from 1 species
GAUGAGCAUGCGUCCCAUUAGCUAGUUGGUAAGGUAACGGCUUACCAAGGCUACGAUGGGUAGGGGUCCUGAGAGGGAGAUCCCCCACACUGGUACUGAGACACGGACCAGACUCCUACGGGAGGCAGCAGUGAGGAAUAUUGGUCAAUGGGCGCAAGCCUGAACCAGCCAUGCCGCGUGCAGGAUGACGGUCCUAUGGAUUGUAAACUGCUUUUGCACAGGAAGAAACAACAUUACGUGUAAUGUCUUGACGGUACUGUGAGAAUAAGGAUCGGCUAACUCCGUGCCAGCAGCCGCGGUAAUACGGAGGAUCCAAGCGUUAUCCGGAAUCAUUGGGUUUAAAGGGUCCGUAGGCGGUUUGGUAAGUCAGUGGUGAAAGCCCAUCGCUCAACGGUGGAACGGCCAUUGAUACUGCCAGACUUGAAUUAUUAGGAAGUAACUAGAAUAUGUAGUGUAGCGGUGAAAUGCUUAGAGAUUACAUGGAAUACCAAUUGCGAAGGCAGGUUACUACUAAUGGAUUGACGCUGAU